CCUACGGGAGGCAGCAGUGGGGAAUCUUCCGCAAUGGGCGCAAGCCUGACGGAGCAACSCCGCGUGAGUGAAGAAGGUCUUCGGAUUGUAAAACUCUGUCCAGGGGGAAGAAGAGAGUGACGGUACCCCUGGAGGAAGCCCCGGCUAACUACGUGCCAGCAGCCGCGGUAAUA
rnacentral:rRNA from 1 species